GCACAAGUGGUGUGGUUGUACACCCGCACCCGUGGAGUGCGUCCUUCGGCGAUGAGCGUGCGAUCGUUUCUGGUGUA
rnacentral:tRNA from 1 species